UUGCUACNGAAUANUCCCGGGANACUGGNNUUAAUACCGUAUACGCCCUUCGGGGGAAAGAUUUAUCGGCNAAGGAUCGGCCCGCGUUGGAUUANGUAGUUGGUGGGGUAAUGGCCUACCAAGCCGACGAUCCAUAGCUGGUUUGAGAGGAUGAUCAGCCACACUGGGACUGAGACACGGCCCAGACUCCUACGGGAGGCAGCAGUGGGGAAUCUUAGACAAUGGGGGCAACCCUGAUCUAGCCAUGCCGCGUGAGUGAUGAAGGCCUUAGGGUUGUAAAGCUCUUUCAGCUGGGAAGAUAAUGACGGUACCAGCAGAAGAAGCCCCGGCUAACUCCGUGCCAGCAGCCGCGGUAAUACGGAGGGGGCUAGCGUUGUUCGGAAUUACUGGGCGUAAAGCGCACGUAGGCGGAUCGGAAAGUUGGGGGUGAAAUCCCGGGGCUCANCCUCGGAACUGCCUCCAAAACUAUCGGUCUUGAGUUCGAGAGAGGUGAGUGGAAUUCCGAGUGUAGAGGUGAAAUUCGUAGAUAUUCGGANGAACACNNNUGGCGAAGGCGGCUCACUGGCUCGAUACUGACGCUGANGUGNNAAAGCGUGGGGAGCAAACAGGAUUAGAUACCCNGGGUAGUCCACGCCGUANNCGAUGAAUGNCAGUCGUCGGGUUGCAUGCAAUUCGGUGANNCNCCUAACGNAUUAAGCAUUCCGCCUGGGGAGUNNGGUCGCAAGAU
rnacentral:rRNA from 1 species